rnacentral:rRNA from 1 species
AUGCAAGUCGAACGAUGAACCAAAGCUUGCUUUGGGGAUUAGUGGCGAACGGGUGAGUAAUACGUGAGUAACCUGCCCUGGAUUUUGGGAUAAGCCUUGGAAACGGGGUCUAAUACUGAAUAUUCUUCUCCUGCCGCAUGGUGGGGGUUGGAAAGUUUUUUCGAUCUGGGAUGGGCUCGCGGGCUAUCAGCUUGACGGUGGGGUAGUGGCCUACCGUGGCUUUGACGGCUAGCCGGCCUGAGAGGGUGACCGGCCACACUGGGACUGAGAUACGGCCCAGACUCCUACGGGAGGCAGCAGUGGGGAAUAUUGCACAAUGGACGAAAGUCUGAUGCAGCGACGCCGCGUGCAGGAUGACGGCCUUCGGGUUGUAAACUGCUUUCAGCAUUGAACAAGGCCACAUUUUUUGUGGUUGAGGGUAGGUGCAGAAGAAGCGCCGGCUAACUACGUGCCAGCAGCCGCGGUAAUACGUAGGGCGCAAGCGUUGUCCGGAAUUAUUGGGCGUAAAGAGCUCGUAGGCGGUUGAUCGCGUCUGGCGUGAAAUCCUCUGGCUUAACUGGGGGUCUGCGUUGGGUACGGGUUGACUGGAGUGCUGUAGGGGAGACUGGAAUUCCUGGUGUAGCGGUGGAAUGCGCAGAUAUCAGGAGGAACACCGAUGGCGAAGGCAGGUCUCUGGGCAGUUACUGACGCUGAGGAGCGAAAGCAUGGGGAGCGAACAGGAUUAGAUACCCUGGUAGUCCAUGCCGUAAACGUUGGGCACUAGAUGUGGGGGCCUUUGUUGGUUUCCGUGUCGUAGCUAACGCAUUAAGUGCCCCGCCUGGGGAGUACGGCCGCAAGGCUAAAACUCAAAGGAAUUGACG